rnacentral:lncRNA from 1 species
UGCGACUAUAAGGUGUAAUAACGCAUAAAUCAUCUGAAGUCUGACAUUCCAGUAAAUAGAAAUAACCAAACUGAGUACAUAACAUCACGAUGAAAAGUAAAAACGAGUCUCUAAUACAAAGUCUAAUAUAAAGAAAGUACACAAACCGAAGUUUCAAAUCACGACGACCUCGUCUCUGGUGCCGGUAGUCCACAUAUAGGUCGUCUCUGGUGCCGGUAGUCCACAUAGAGGUCUACAAGCUGGUAGCGUAUCCCUUCCAUCUGCUAAACUGAGUUCACUUAAUAAACAAUUUCCUAACAACAUACAUUAUUAGCAAUCACAUUAUCAGUA